CCCUUAGAUGUCCUGGGCCGCACGCGCGCUACACUGAUGAAUUCAACGAGCCUAGCCUUGUCCGAAAGGUCCGGGUAAUCUCUGAAACUUCAUCGUGAUGGGGAUAGAUCAUUGCAAUUAUUGAUCUUCAACGAGGAAUUCCUAGUAAGCGCAAGUCAUCAGCUUGCGUUGAUUACGUCCCUGCCCUUUGUACACACCGCCCGUCGCUUGUACCGAUUGGAUGGUCCGGUGAAAUCUUCGGAUAGCUGGUAGUUGGCUUGCCAUCUACUGCUAAAAGUUGCUUAAACCUUAUCAUCUAGAGGAACAAGAAGUCGUAACA
rnacentral:rRNA from 1 species